rnacentral:tRNA from 1 species
ACAGUGAUGGUUUAGGGGUAGAAUUCUCACCUCCCAUGUGAGAAACCCAGGUUCGAUUACUGGCCAAUGUA